rnacentral:rRNA from 1 species
GUGAAUGAUGGAAACGAAUGUGCUUUCUUAACUCACAUGGGCAAAGAUUCCAACUCCGCUCAUAACUUUUCUCAGCGGUGUCAUGAUAAUCUGAAAAAUAGUUUGACUCACAUCGACAAGGCAAUGGUGAAAGUGUGUGCAAAAGUCGCAGAUGCAAGGCUAAGGCUUAAAGUUACAAUUGAUUGCAUCAAGUAA